rnacentral:rRNA from 1 species
UAAGUAAGCGGAGGAUAAGAAACUAAAUAGGAUUCCCUCAGUAAUGGCGAAUGAACAGGGAUAAGCUCAGCUUGGAAAUUGGGCCCUCUGGGCUUGAAUUGUAGUCUUUCGAUGGCAUUGCCAGCGGAGGCGCAGAUGUAAGCCUCUUGGAAAAGAGCAUCAAUGAGGGUGAGAGUCCCGUUUGUCAUCUGCAGUCCUCUGUUUACGGUGUGCUUUCUAAGAGUCACGUUCCUUGGGAUUGGAGCGCAAAUUGGGUGGUAAAUUUCAUCUAAAGCUAAAUAUUGGUUCGAGACCGAUAGCAAACAAGUACCAUGAGGGAAAGGUGAAAAGGACUUUGAAAAGAGAGUUAAAAGUGCCUGAAAUUGCUGAAAGGGAAGCGAAUGGAACCAGUCUUCUUGGUGAGAUUGUUGUGCGCUAUUGUGAUUGCUUUCUGCUUCAACGCAAGUGUUGCAGUGGGUUUUGAGCAUGACGCGCACUUUGUUUCUCACCUCGUGUGUCAACGUCGGUUCAGAUUUGAGGAAAACUCUAGGGACAUGGUUAAUUACUCGCGAGUGAUUGAAUGUGCCUGGUAGAACUCAUGUCUAAACUGAUUUCCGCAUGUCUGGUCGCAGUGUUCUCAUUACCUGCGUCUGGGUUCGUGGCUUGUAGCUUCUGUUACUCGUCGCGGGCUUCUGGGCCUGGUCGUGGAGCAUCUCCCUGACAUUAGUACGAUGACAAAAUGGUUUCAUUCGACCCG